rnacentral:ribozyme from 1 species
GGGGUACACGGUGACUGCCUCCUCGUGGCGUACCCCGGGCAACGUUCGAUUUUCGAACGGCUGAAGUCACC